UAGGGAAUAUUAGUAAUGGGCGAAAGCCUGAACUAGCAACGCCGCGUGUGCGAAGAAGGCCUUCGGGUUGUAAAGCACUUUUUGAGAGGAUGAGGAAGGACGGUACUCUCAGAAUAAGUCUCGGCUAACUACGUGCCAGCAGCCGCGGUAACACGUAGGAGGCGAACGUUAUCCGGAUUUACUGGGCGUAAAGCGCGUGUAGGUGGUUUGGUAAGUAGGGCGUGAAAGCUCCUGGCUCAACUGGGAGAGGCCGUUCUAAACUGCCGAACUAGAGGAUGGUAGAGGGAUGUGGAAUUCCGGGUGUAGCGGUGGAAUGCGCAGAUAUCCGGAGGAACACCAGUGGCGAAAGCGGCCUCCUGGACCAUUCCUGACACUCAGACGCGAAAGCUAGGGUA
rnacentral:rRNA from 1 species